UCAUUGUCCUAAGUUGUUAAAUACCCUAAAUAUAAGGCCUGUGCGUUAUUCCCGAUCCCUUCGCCUCACUCCCCGCGCGUGAUCGUCGCUCUCCUCUCCCCACUCAGCUCUGGUGCUUCGACGGAGUUUCCCUCCGGCCAAGCGUCGCCCCGCGAAGCUGAUUUCCACGGAGGACCUCACGACUAAACAAGGAUCCUCGCCGGUGCAGUAACUUAGGGCAGGGACUCUCGAUGGUGGCACAAGGCAAGGAAAGGCAAGUACUUCUAUUAUGCGGGUAUGGCUUCUGUGAGGUGAGGACAUCACCCAGGAUAUGACGGAAGGCAUACGGAUGGAGUAGGCAAGGAGGCGAGAUGGAUGCAAGGCACUAUCCAGACAUUUAGGAGUGCAAAGCUUACUUGCUCCAUUGUGGGAGGUUCUUUAUUUGUAUAGGGGGAUGUUCCAGAAUACAUUGUUCUUAUUUGUUGAACUCAUGUUUGGGAUGUUGUCAUUACAUUGGAUAAGAUAGUUUAUUUCGAUGGAUUUGUACUGCGGUUA